rnacentral:lncRNA from 1 species
UUAGAGUAAACUUUUUCAAUGAGUGCCAAAAUGAAAUGCAAUGCAAAGUUUAUUUUUUAUUUUUAAAACAUUAUUUUGAACAUUUUAGGUGUGAGAACAAUUUAUCUCACCAUGAUAAAGUAGGCCAAAUAUUGCCAAAAGUAUGGUCACUGACCAUAUACUAGUAGUUGAUUUAUUUCAACUUGAAAUUAAUUUUAUAUUUAUAGUGUUAUGUGAUGAUAUGGUUCUUGUUGACAUGUUGUUAGAGAUUUUCUUGUUAAAGAAGUUUUAUGUAUUCUUUAGUUGCAGGUAGAAAGAAUUAAAAUUUAAUUCUAUUAUUUUAAUUUUACCACUAAUUUCAUACACAUUCUUAUGAAAAUACUAGUACUGAUACACAUUGAUGGACACUUUCUUGUAAUGAAGAAAAAUGUUAGAAUUUUACCGUAUAUUUUGGUGAAGAUCAGUUUAAGAGUCAAAUUGGCUCUAAAAACUAAAGUAUUUCAAAAUUAAUUCAAUUUUCAGAACUUCAAAUAUCCAAAUGAAAAUGUAUUUAUACCCCCACUUUUGAAAAAAGGGGGGUAUACUGUUUUACCUCUGUCUGUCCUUCCAUCCAUCCAUCCAUCCAUCCGUCAGUCCAUCAGUCAGUCCGUCCGUCUGUCUCAUGAAUAUUUUUCGUCACAUUUUUCUGAGGAACUACAAUACAAGGAUUUCUGAAAUUUAGUUUCAGGGUUUAUAUAAGUCAGCUAUACCAUGUGAUGUGUUUUCAGAUUCAUCACUUGACAACUUCCUGUUUACCGAACACUUGUAUGAUUUUACACAUGAUAGCCAAGUUGAAAAUUUCGUCACAAUUUUCUCAGGAACUACAAUACAAGGAUUUCUGAAAUUUGGUUUCAGGGUUAAAUAUAAGUCAGCUAUACUGUGUGAUGCGUUUUCAGAUUCAUCACUUGACAACUUCUUGUUUACUGAACACUUGUAUGAUUUUACACAUGAUAGCCAAUUUGAAAAUUUUCUUCACAAUUUUCUCAGGAACUACAAUACAAGGAUUUAUGAAAUUUGGUUUCAGGGUUUAUAUAAGUCAGCUAUACCGUGUGAUGCGUUUUCAGAUUUAUCACUUGACAACUUCCUGUUUACCGAACACUUGUAUGAUUUUAAAAAUGAUAGCCAAGCUGAAAAUUUCGUCACAAUUUCUCAGGAACUACAAUACAAGGAUUUCUGAAAUUUGGUUUCAGGUUUUAUAUAAGUCAGCUAUACCGUGUGAUGCGUUUUCAGAUUCAUCACUUGACAACUUCCUGUUUACCGAACACUUGUAUGAUUUUACACAUGAUAGCCAAGUUGAAAAUUUUCGUCACAAUUUUCUCAGGAACUACGAUACAAGGAUUUCUGAAAUUUGGUUUCAGGGUUAAAUAUAAGUCAGCUAUACUGUAUGAUGCGUUUUCAGAUUCAUCACUUGACAACUUCCUGUUUACCGAACACUUGCAUAUUUUUACACUAUUAAUAUUAUCCACUUGCAGCAGGGGUAUCAUCAGUGAGCAGUAGCUUGCAGUUUAACACUGCAUUUAAAUAAUGUCAUUUUACAAAUUUUCCUUGUCAGUGAAUAUACAUGGGUAUAAAAUAUAUUUCUUCACUUAUAACUGAUUAUUGUUGAUAUAAAUACAAUGUGUUCAUUGAAUUCCUUUUUAGUGGGUUGAUAUUCUCUAGUCUAUUGUAAUUUUUAUUAAUCAAGAAAUAAAUUAAUGCUC